AUUACCCAGGAAUCUUAUUAAAAUGUAGAUUCUGAGUCAGCUGAUCUGGCAUGGUGCCAAGAUUCUGCAUUUCUAACAAGUUCCCAGGUGAUUAGAA
rnacentral:pre_miRNA from 1 species